rnacentral:tRNA from 2 species
GGGUGCUUAGCUCAGUUGGUUAGAGCGUCUCGUUUACACCGAGAAGGCCUGGGGUUCGAAUCCCUAAGCACCCACCA